rnacentral:rRNA from 1 species
UGGGGAAUCUUGCACAAUGGGGGAAACCCUGAUGCAGCGACGCCGCGUGAACGAUGAAGCCCUUCGGGGUGUAAAGUUCUUUCGACGGGGACGAUAAUGACGGUACCCGGAGAAGAAGCUGCGGCUAACUACGUGCCAGCAGCCGCGGUAAUACGUAGGCAGCAAGCGUUGUUCGGAAUUACUGGGCGUAAAGAGUGCGUAGGUGGUUGGCCAAGUUUGGUGUGAAAUCUCCCGGCUUAACUGGGAGGGUGCGCCGAAAACUGGUUGACUAGAGUGUGGGAGAGGGACGUGGAAUUCCUGGUGUAGCGGUGAAAUGCGUAGAUAUCAGGAGGAACACCUGCGGUGUAAACGGCGUCCUGGACCAUGACUGACACUGAGGCACGAAAGCGUGGGGAGCAAACA